rnacentral:rRNA from 1 species
GUCGAGCGAACGGACGAGAAGCUUGCUUCUCUGAUGUUAGCGGCGGACGGGUGAGUAACACGUGGAUAACCUACCUAUAAGACUGGGAUAACUUCGGGAAACCGGAGCUAAUACCGGAUAAUAUUUUGAACCGCAUGGUUCAAAAGUGAAAGACGGUCUUGCUGUCACUUAUAGAUGGAUCCGCGCUGCAUUAGCUAGUUGGUAAGGUAACGGCUUACCAAGGCAACGAUGCAUAGCCGACCUGAGAGGGUGAUCGGCCACACUGGAACUGAGACACGGUCCAGACUCCUACGGGAGGCAGCAGUAGGGAAUCUUCCGCAAUGGGCGAAAGCCUGACGGAGCAACGCCGCGUGAGUGAUGAAGGUCUUCGGAUCGUAAAACUCUGUUAUUAGGGAAGAACAUAUGUGUAAGUAACUGUGCACAUCUUGACGGUACCUAAUCAGAAAGCCACGGCUAACUACGUGCCAGCAGCCGCGGUAAUACGUAGGUGGCAAGCGUUAUCCAGAAUUAUUGGGCGUAAAGCGCGCGUAGGCGGUUUUUUAAGUCUGAUGUGAAAGCCCACGGCUCAACCGUGGAGGGUCAUUGGAAACUGGAAAACUUGAGUGCAGAAGAGGAAAGUGGAAUUCCAUGUGUAGCGGUGAAAUGCGCAGAGAUAUGGAGGAACACCAGUGGCGAAGGCGACUUUCUGGUCUGUAACUGACGCUGAUGUGCGAAAGCGUGGGGAUCAAACAGGAUUAGAUACCCUG